UACAGAGGGGGCAAGCGUUAUUCGGAAUUAUUGGGCGUAAAGGGCGCGUAGGCGCCUGGCAAGUGGAAGGUGAAAUCCCUCGGCUUAACCGAGGAACUGCCCUCCAAACUGCUUGGCUUGAGUCCGGGAGAGGUGAGUGGAAUUCCCAGUGUAGCGGUGAAUGCGUAGAUAUUGGGAGACACCAGUGGCGAAGGCGGCGACCUGGGUGGAUACUGACGCUGAGGUGCGAAAGC
rnacentral:rRNA from 1 species